AAGUAAGAAACAAAUCAAUUGUGAUCAGUUUCGACCUGAUAAUGAGAUAUAUUAUAUCCUUAUUUGA
rnacentral:tRNA from 1 species